rnacentral:lncRNA from 7 species
AAGAAGGCCAAUGGUGUCCUGGCUUGUCUCAGGAGUGGUGUGGUGAGCAGGAUGGGAGGGGUGGUCCUGUCCCUGUGCUCAGCAUUGUCUACAGACAACUUGUGAACUGAGUCUUCUACUGGAUAACUACAAGAGCACCUGCUUUCAAAUGAGGCUCUGCAAAUUUCACUAAGGUGCCAAUUGUAUGAAGACAGUCCAAAGCUCCUAAGGGACAUUUGACUAGUAUGACUCAGGUCCUUGUUUAAAUGUGGCUCUCUGCCUCAUAAGCCAUUUUCAUCAUGUUUCUGGGCACUUCGUAAGUCUACAAAAAGUUUCUGCUUUUGAUCUCCAUUUGAAGAACUCCUCUGAAUUUUCUUGACAUUCCUCAGAUUUAUGGCAGAGUAUGAGUCACUACUCUCCCUGUCAUCUGUAAAGAUAAGAGAAAAGGGAUAGCUCAAAUUAGUUUCAUUCUUUUUCUAGUGACAUAUUCCUUGGCCUCUGGAAAUUAUACUGAGUUUCCUCAUGAUAAAACAUUGGUAUCCAAAGAGAGCCUCAUUGACACUGAUAAUGAUGUCCUUUGGCACAGUCUAACAUGUUCUGAAUUCGGUGCAAGCUGAAGGCCUAAAUCAAUGGUCUGCUCACUGCAGCAAACAAAGCAUCUUGGCAUUUACAUCGUAACAAGCGAGAGCAGAUCUGUUCAUACGUAUUUUUAUGCUUUCAUCUCCCUAUAGUUGUGCUGUCAUUAUUGUCUCUGCCAUUUCAGGACACAAAUAGAAAGCAAAAGGAAUAAUGUCUAUAUUGUGCAAGAAAAUUUCUGCAGAAGGGAUGUAAAUAAGGAAGAGAGAAGAGGAAAACAUCUGUUUUCAUGCAGGUUACCAAAUCACCUCAGGGAUCUAACAUAUGUAUCCAGAAAAUUAAUAAAAUUUUAUGGAAAGACUGGCAAUUUCUAGGAAGAGUUAUAUAACAGUAGCAACUACUAUAUAUUCUCAAAAAUAGUAAAUAAUAAAUAUACUGUUCCUUACCAACUUUACAGCAAUAAUUGCAUACCAGAUGUAGCUCAUUACUGAUGUGUUUUUAAAGACAUAGAAGUUUCUGAUUUCAGAAAAGGUUCUGUCAAUGCUUGAAAGCACAUAGAUCAGGAAUUGUUCUGGGUGUUUUUUUUUUGUUGUUGUUGUUGUUUGUUUGUUUGUUUCCUUGGAAAUUUCCAGAAAUAAAAUAUAUGAGGUGUU